GCCCUCUCAGCUUCGCAUGAUGACGCCUGGCUUCCCUGGUGAUUUUCCCAGUGGAGAGAGAAAAGAUCCUCUCAGGACCUCACAGGGCCUUGUGGUGGCCUCUCUGUUCCUUGAAAGGGCAAAACAGAU